AGCAGCCGCGGUAAUUCCAGCUCCAAUAGCGUAUAUUAAAGUUGCUGCAGUUAAAAAGCUCGUAGUUGAAUUUCGGGACUAAUAUGUUGGUCGUGCCUCGGUACGUACUGAUAUUUUUGGUUUCUCCCUUCUGACGAACCUUGAUGUCAUUAAUUUGGUGUCUUGGGAAAUCAGGACUGUUACUUUGAAAAAAUUAGAGUGUUUAAAGCAGGCUCACGCUUGAAUACAUUAGCAUGGAAUAAUGAAAUAGGACGUUUGAUUCUAUUUUGUUGGUUUCUAGGAUCGACGUAAUGAUUAAUAGGGAUAGUUGGGGGCAUUAGUAUUCAAUUGUCAGAGGUGAAAUUCUUGGAUUUAUUGAAGACUAACUACUGCGAAAGCAUUUGCCAAGGAUGUUUUCAUUAAUCAAGAACGAAAGUUAGGGGAUCGAAGACGAUCAGAUACCGUCGUAGUCUUAACCAUAAACUAUGCCGACUAGGGAUCGGAUGAUGUUAAUUUUUAAUGACUCAUUCGGCGCCUUAAC
rnacentral:rRNA from 1 species